AUGAAUGUCCUGUGGUUCUUCCUCAUUCUGGUGGCAGCUCCCAGAUGUGUCCUGUCCAAGGUGCAGCUGAAGGAGAUAGGAUCUGGCCUGGUGAAGCCCUCACAGACCCUGUCCCUCACCUGCACUGUCUCUGGAUUAUCUUUACCUAGCAAUUAUUUAAACUGGAUCUGGCAGGCUCUGGGAAAGGGGCUGGAGUGGGUUGGUGAGAUAAACAGUGGUGGAAGCACAUACUAUAAUCCAAUGCUUCAGUCCCCAAUCAAAAUCACAUUGGACAUCAAGAAUGAAGGUUAUCUAAAGCUCAGCAGCCUGAGACUGGAGGACAUGACCAUGUAUUUCUGUGUGAGAGUCACAGUGAGAAGAAGUCAUGGUGAGCCCAGUCACAAACCUCCCCUGAGGGCACAGGAGGAGCUGGGCUGCAGGGGGCUCUCCUGA